UGGGGAAUAUUGCACAAUGGGCGCAAGCCUGAUGCAGCCAUGCCGCGUGUAUGAAGAAGGCCUUCGGGUUGUAAAGUACUUUCAGUCGGGAGGAAGGUGGUAAGGUUAAUAACCUUAUCAAUUGACGUUACCGACAGAAGAAGCACCGGCUAACUCCGUGCCAGCAGCCGCGGUAAUACGGAGGGUGCAAGCGUUAAUCGGAAUUACUGGGCGUAAAGCGCACGCGGGCGGUUGAUUGAGUCAGAUGUGAAAUCCCCGGGCUUAACCCGGGAAUUGCAUCUGAUACUGGUCAGCUAGGGUCUUGUAGAGGGGGGUAGAAUUCCAUGUGUAGCGGUGAAAUGCGUAGAGAUGUGGAGGAAUACCGGUGGCGAAGGCGGCCCCCUGGACAAAGACUGACGCUCAGGUGCGAAAGCGUGGGGAGCAAACAGGA
rnacentral:rRNA from 1 species